UACGUAGGUGGCGAGCGUUGUCCGGAUUUACUGGGCGUAAAGAGCGCGCAGGCGGCUGGUCAAGUCCGAUGUGAAAGCUCCCGGCUUAACUGGGAAAUUGCAUCGGAAACUGAUCGGCUGGAAGGUGGGAGAGGGUAGCGGAAUUCCCGGUGUAGUGGUGAAAUGCGUAGAUAUUGGGAAGAACACCGGUGGCGAAGGCGGCGACCUGGUCCAUUACUGACGCUGAGGCGCCGACAGCGUGGGGAGCAAACAGG
rnacentral:rRNA from 1 species